ACUACGGGAGGCAGCAGUGAGGGAUAUUGGUCAAUGGGGGAAACCCUGAACCAGCAACGCCGCGUGAGGGAAGACGGUUUUCGGAUUGUAAAGCUCUGUCAGCGGUGAAGAAAAUGACGGUAGCAGAGGAGGAAGCUCCGGCUAACUACGGGCCAGCAGCCGCGGUAAUACGUAGGGAGCAAGCGUUGUCAGGAUUUACUGGGUGUAAAGGGAGCGGAGGCGGCAGUGCAAGUCAGAAGUGAAAUCCCUGGGCUUAACCCCGGAACUGCUUUUGAAACUGCAGAGCUUGAGUGGCGUAGAGGUAGUCGGCAUUCCCGGUGUAGCGGUGAAAUGCGUAGAGCUCGGGAGGCACACCAGUGGCGAAGGCGGCCUGCUGGUCUCUAACUGACGCUGAGGCACGAAAGCGUGGGUAGCAAACAGGAUUAGAUACCCUUGUAGUC
rnacentral:rRNA from 1 species